rnacentral:rRNA from 1 species
GACGAACGCUGGCGGCGUGCUUAACACAUGCAAGUCGAACGGAAAGGCUCCAGCUUGCUGGCGUACUCGAGUGGCGAACGGGUGAGUAACACGUGGGUAAUCUGCCCUGCACUCUGGGAUAAGCCUGGGAAACUGGGUCUAAUACUGGAUAUGACCUUUCUCCUUAUGGGGUUUGGUGGAAAGUUUUUCGGUGUAGGAUGAGCCCGCGGCCUAUCAGCUUGUUGGUGGGGUGAUGGCUUACCAAGGCGACGACGGGUAGCCGGCCUGAGAGGGUGAUCGGCCACAUUGGGACUGAGAUACGGCCCAGACUCCUACGGGAGGCAGCAGUGGGGAAUAUUGCACAAUGGGCGGAAGCCUGAUGCAGCGACGCCGCGUGAGGGAUGACGGCCUUCGGGUUGUAAACCGCUUUCAGCAGGGACGAAGCGUAAGUGACGGUACCUGCAGAAGAAGCACCGGCGAACUAUGU